AUCGAAGGCCGCAGACGUCGACGCCGGCGUGGGCGCGAGCGCGGUGCACGCUGGGAGCUGUCACUAGGCCCUUCGGCUCCCGGUCUCCGUGUAGCUGCCGUGGUUGCCAGGAGAGCGGAGCCGGCUAGGAGCGGCCGAGCCAGCAGCAGGAAGGAACACACAAGUAGUUAUCUUUCAGGCUGUCUUUGAAUACUUCCAUGACCCUGAACACUAACUGAGGAGAGUUUCAACCACUGCUAACAGUAAUGACUUUACAUGAGUUUGGAACUGGUCUCUAGUGGGAAGUUGUGGGAGGAUGAACACAGAAGAGCUGGAGUUAUUGAGUGACUCCAAAUACAGAAACUAUGUAGCCGCAAUUGACAAAGCACUAAAGAAUUUUGAAUACUCCAGUGAAUGGGCAGAUUUGAUAUCAGCACUUGGAAAACUUAAUAAGGUUUUACAGAAUAAUGCAAAGUACCAAGUAGUACCCAAAAAGCUGACCAUAGGCAAACGCCUAGCUCAAUGUCUACAUCCAGCAUUACCAGGUGGAGUUCAUCGGAAGGCACUUGAAACAUAUGAAAUUAUCUUCAAAAUAAUUGGACCUAAGCGACUUGCCAAAGAUCUUUUUUUAUAUAGUUCUGGAUUAUUUCCUCUUCUUGCAAAUGCUGCCAUGUCUGUGAAGCCAACAUUGCUCAGUUUGUAUGAGAUAUAUUAUCUGCCUUUGGGUAAAACACUGAAACCUGGUCUACAGGGAUUGCUUACUGGUAUUCUUCCUGGCUUAGAAGAAGGAUCAGAGUACUAUGAGAGAACAAAUACAUUGUUGGAAAAGGUUGCUGCUGCUGUGGACCAGUCAGCAUUCUACAGUGCCCUGUGGGGUAGUCUUCUCACCAGUCCUGCUGUGCGUUUACCUGGAAUCACGUAUGUUCUUGCCCAUUUAAACAGGAAGCUUUCUAUGGAAGAUCAACUUUAUAUAAUUGGCAGUGAUAUUGAGCUAAUGGUAGAAGCAGUAAGUACUUCGGUGCAAGACUCAAGUGUACUUGUACAGAGAAGCACACUGGACCUCAUACUCUUCUGUUUUCCUUUCCACAUGAGUCAGGCCACUCGACCGGAUAUGAUCAGGAUCUUGUCAGCAGCCCUUCAUGUAGUGCUAAGGAGGGAUAUGUCUCUGAAUCGAAGACUUUAUGCAUGGCUUCUUGGUUUUGAUAACAACGGUGCUAUCAUAGGACCCAGAAGCACAAGACAUAGUAAUCCCGAAGAACAUGCCACUUACUAUUUCACUACCUUUUCAAAAGAAUUAUUGGUCCAGGCAAUGGUGGGAAUCUUACAAGUGAAUGGAUUUGGAGAAGAGAACACUCUAAUGCAGGAUCUAAAGCCUUUUCGCAUUUUAAUCAGUUUACUGGACAAACCUGAGCUAGGACCUGUAAUUCUAGAAGAUGUCCUGAUUGAAGUGUUUAGAACAUUAUAUUCUCAAUGCAAAGCAGAGUUGGAUCUUCAAACAGAACCACCCUUCAGCAAGGAUCAUGCUCAGUUAAGCAGUAAAUUAAGAGAAAAUAAGAAAACAGCAGAGUUGAUUAAAACUGCUAACCUUCUGUUUAAUUCCUUCGAACCUUAUUAUAUGUGGGAUUAUGUUGCACGUUGGUUUGAAGAAUGUUGUAGGAGGACACUGCAUGCCAGACUUCAGAUUGGACCUGGAGAUAGUAAUGACUCAUCUGAAUUACAGCUGACCAAUUUCUGCUUACUGGUGGAUUUUUUAUUGGACAUAGUUUCUUUGCCUACUAGAAGUAUGAGGGUGCUGUGUCAGGAGACUUACAUUGAAAUCCAGACAGAACACUUGCCCCAGUUGCUGCUCAGAAUGAUUUCUGCCUUGACAAGCCAUCUCCAGACAUUGCAUUUGUCUGAACUCACAUAUUCUCUCAGACUUUGCUCAAAGAUCCUUAGCAAGGUUCAGCCUCCACUGUUAUCUGCUAGCACUGGAGGUGUUUUGCAGUUUUCAAGUGGGCAGAACAAUUCAGUCAAAGAAUGGGAAGACAAAAAGAUAUCAUCAGUUUCUCAUGAAAAUCCUACUGAAGUGUUUGAAGAUGGAGAAAAUCCACCAAGUAGUCGAUCAUCAGAGAGUGGAUUCACUGAGUUUAUACAAUAUCAAGCAGACCGAACUGAUGAUAUUGACAGAGAACUGAGUGAGGGGCAGGGGGCAGCUACCAUCCCAAUUGGUAGCACAUCCUCUGAAACAGAAACAGCAUCCACUGUGGGAUCUGAAGAAACCAUCAUCCAGACCCCUUCCGUAGUCACUCAGGGGACAGCAACCCGAAGUGGGAAGACAGCCCAAAAGACUGCAAUGCAGUGCUGCUUGGAGUAUGUCCAACAGUUUCUUACCAGACUUAUCAACCUCUACAUCAUUCAGAAUAACUCUCUUUCUCAGGCUUUGACUACAGAACAUCAGGGGGAUCUUGGUCGAGAACAAGGAGAGACUUCAAAAUGGGACAGAAAUUCACAAGGAGAUGUAAAAGAGAGAAGCAUAAGUAAACAAAAAACUUCUAAAGAAUACCUUUCUGCCUUCCUUGCUGCCUGUCAGCUCUUCCUAGAGUGCUCAAGUUUCCCAGUUUACAUCGCUGAGGGGAACCAUACAUCAGAGUUACGUUCUGAAAAACUGGAGACUGACUGUGAGCAUGUGCAGCCUCCACAGUGGCUCCAGACUCUGAUGAAUGCUUGCAGCCAAGCAAGUGAUUUCAGUGUUCAGAGUGUUGCUAUUUCACUAGUCAUGGACCUGGUGGGACUGACACAGUCUGUGGCCAUGGUCACUGGGGAAAACAUCAACAGUGUAGAGCCUGCACAACCCUUAAGUCCAAACCAGGGAAGAGUAGCUGUGGUUAUUAGACCUCCCCUCACUCAGGGCAAUCUGAGGUACAUAGCUGAGAAGACUGAAUUUUUCAAGCAUGUAGCUUUAACAUUGUGGGACCAGUUGGGAGAUGGGACACCUCAGCAUCACCAGAAGAGUGUGGAACUAUUUUAUCAAUUACAUAACUUAGUUCCUUCUUCUAGCAUCUGUGAGGAUGUUAUAAGUCAGCAGUUAACCCAUAAAGAUAAGAAAAUAAGGAUGGAAGCACAUGCCAAGUUUGCAGUUCUUUGGCAUCUAACGAGAGAUCUCCAUAUAAAUAAAUCUUCAUCUUUUGUACGUUCUUUUGACAGGUCACUGUUCAUCAUGUUAGAUAGCCUUAACAGUCUCGAUGGUUCUACUAGCUCUGUGGGACAAGCCUGGCUGAACCAAGUCCUACAAAGACAUGAUAUUGCACGAGUUUUGGAACCAUUGCUAUUGCUCCUGCUUCAUCCAAAAACUCAGAGGGUUUCAGUACAGCGUGUACAAGCAGAACGUUAUUGGAAUAAGGCUCCCUGUUAUCCAGGAGAGGACAAUGACAAGCAUUUCAUGCAAAAUUUUGCCUGCAGCAAUGUGAGCCAAGUACAACUCAUCACAUCGAAAGGAAAUGGUGAAAAGCCACUUACCAUGGAUGAAAUAGAGAACUUUAGUCUCACUGUGAAUCCAUUAAGUGACAGACUUUCCCUCCUAAGUACCAGCAGUGAGACAAUUCCAAUGGUUGUGUCUGAUUUUGAUCUUCCAGACCAACAGAUAGAAAUACUUCAGAGUUCUGACUCGGGAUGUUCACAGUCCUCUGCAGGGGACAACUUGAGUUAUGAAGUUGAUCCUGAAACCGUGAAUGCCCAAGAGGAUUCUCAAAUGCUAAAGGAAAGCUCCCCAGAUGAUGAUGUUCAGCAGGUAGUGUUUGACCUGAUAUGUAAAGUUGUAAGUGGCCUCGAAGUGGAAUCUGCAUCAGUUACAUCUCAAUUAGAAAUUGAAGCUAUGCCCCCAAAGUGCAGUGAUAUAGAUCCAGAUGAAGAGACAAUUAAAAUUGAAGAUGACUCUAUUCAACAGAGUCAGAAUGUUUUGCUGAGUAAUGAAAGUUCUCAGUUUCUGUCUGUGUCUGCAGAGAGAGGCCAUGAGUGUGUGGCAAAUGGAAUAUCCAGGAAUAGCUCCUCACCUUGUAUUUCAGGAACCACACACACUCUUCAUGACUCUUCUUUUGCUUCCAUAGAAACCAAAUCUAGACAAAGGAGUCACAGUAGUAUUCAAUUCAGCUUCAAAGAAAAAUUAUCAGAAAAAGUUUCGGAGAAGGAAACAAUAGUUAAGGAGUCAGGUAAACAACCAGGAGCAAAACCUAAAGUAAAACUUGCCAGAAAAAAGGAUGAUGACAAGAAAAAAUCUUCCAAUGAAAAACUCAAACAAACCAGUGUAUUCUUUAGUGAUGGUCUGGAUUUAGAGAACUGGUAUAGCUGUGGAGAGGGAGACAUUUCUGAAAUUGAGAGUGACAUGGGUUCUCCAGGAUCUCGGAAAUCUCCCAGUUUCAACAUUCAUCCUCUCUAUCAACAUGUGCUCCUGUAUCUCCAGUUGUAUGAUUCAUCCAGGACUUUGUAUGCUUUCUCUGCCAUCAAAGCCAUCUUGAAAACUAACCCUAUAGCUUUUGUAAAUGCCAUUUCAACUACUAGUGUAAAUAACGCAUAUACUCCUCAGUUGUCUCUCCUUCAGAAUCUAUUGGCCAGACACCGGAUUUCUGUUAUGGGCAAAGAUUUUUAUAGUCACAUUCCAGUGGACUCAAAUCAUAACUUCCGGAGUUCUAUGUACAUAGAAAUUCUUAUUUCUCUCUGCCUAUAUUACAUGCGUAGCCAUUACCCAACUCAUGUCAAGGUUACUGCACAAGAUUUAAUAGGCAAUCGAAACAUGCAGAUGAUGAGCAUAGAAAUUCUGACACUACUUUUCACUGAGCUGGCAAAAGUAAUAGAAAGCUCAGCGAAGGGUUUCCCUAGUUUUAUUUCUGAUAUGUUAUCUAAGUGCAAAGUUCAGAAAGUGAUUCUUCAUUGUUUGCUGUCAUCUAUCUUUAGUGCUCAGAAAUGGCAUAGUGAAAAAAUGGCAGGUAAGAACAUGGUUGCUGUGGAAGAAGGUUUCUCAGAGGACAGCCUUAUUAAUUUUUCAGAGGAUGAAUUUGACAAUGGCAGCACGUUGCAGUCACAACUUCUUAAGGUGCUUCAGAGGCUGAUUGUUCUAGAACACAGAGUAAUGACUAUUCCUGAAGAGAAUGAAACAGGUUUUGAUUUUGGUGUAUCUGACUUGGAACACAUCAGUCCCCAUCAACCCAUGACUUCUCUUCAGUAUUUGCAUGCUCAGCCAAUCACGUGUCAAGGCAUGUUCCUCUGUGCAGUGAUACGAGCUUUGCAUCAGCACUGUGCAUGUAAGAUGCACCCACAAUGGAUCGGUUUAAUCACAUCUACCCUGCCUUACAUGGGAAAAGUUCUACAGAGAGUAGUUGUUUCUGUGACACUACAACUGUGCAGAAAUCUAGAUAAUCUAAUUCAGCAGUACAAAUACGAAACAGGAUUAUCUGACAGUAGGCCUCUGUGGAUGGCAUCAGUUAUUCCACCAGAUAUGAUUCUUACUCUCUUGGAAGGGAUUACAGCCAUUAUCCAUUACUGUUUGUUGGAUCCAACUACACAGUAUCACCAACUUUUGGUCAAUGUAGACCAGAAACACUUGUUUGAAGCACGCAGUGGAAUCCUCUCAAUCCUUCAUAUGAUCAUGUCCUCUGUGACACUGCUUUGGAGCAUACUGCAUCAAGCCGAUUCUUCGGAAAAGAUGAUUAUUGCUGCCUCCGCAUCUGUUACCACUAUUAAUCUUGGAGCUACAAAGAACUUGAGACAACAGAUUCUUGAAUUGUUGGGCCCCAUUUCAAUGAAUCAUGGUGUUCACUUUAUGGCUGCCAUUGCAUUUGUGUGGAAUGAAAGAAGACAGAAUAAAACCACCACCAGGACCAAGGUCAUUCCUGCAGCCAGUGAAGAACAGCUUUUAUUAGUGGAAUUGGUUCGUUCAAUCAGUGUCAUGAGAGCAGAAACUGUUAUCCAGACUGUAAAAGAAGUUUUAAAGCAGCCACCAGCCAUAGCCAAGGACAAGAAACAUCUUUCUUUGGAAGUCUGCAUGCUUCAGUUUUUCUAUGCUUAUAUUCAAAGAAUUCCAGUGCCCAAUUUAGUGGAUAGCUGGGCGUCACUGUUGAUACUUCUGAAAGACUCUAUACAACUGAGUCUUCCAGCUCCAGGGCAGUUUCUUAUACUUGGGGUUCUGAAUGAGUUUAUUAUGAAAAACCCUAGUUUGGAAAAUAAAAAAGACCAAAGAGACCUUCAGGAUGUAACUCACAAAAUAGUGGAUGCAAUUGGUGUAAUUGCUGGUUCUUCUCUGGAACAAACAACGUGGCUGCGACGAAAUCUUGAAGUUAAGCCUUCUCCCAAAAUAAUGGUAGAUGGAACCAAUUUGGAAUCUGAUGUUGAAGAUAUGUUAUCACCUGCAAUGGAAACCGCAAACAUAACUCCUUCUGUAUAUAGUGUCCAUGCAUUGACAUUACUCUCUGAGGUUUUGGCUCAUCUUUUGGAUAUGGUUUUCUAUAGUGAUGAAAAGGAGCGGGUUAUUCCUUUACUUGUAAAUAUUAUGCAUUAUGUUGUGCCCUACCUCAGAAAUCACAGUGCACAUAAUGCCCCUAGUUAUCGAGCUUGUGUCCAGCUGCUCAGCAGUCUUAGUGGGUAUCAGUACACACGGAGAGCUUGGAAAAAAGAAGCUUUUGACCUCUUUAUGGAUCCCAGUUUCUUUCAGAUGGAUGCCUCUUGUGUUAAUCAUUGGAGAGCAAUUAUGGACAAUCUGAUGACACAUGAUAAAACAACAUUUAGAGAUUUGAUGACACGCGUAGCAGUGGCUCAAAGCAGUUCACUUAAUCUCUUUGCAAACCGUGAUGUGGAGCUAGAACAGAGAGCCAUGCUUCUUAAAAGAUUAGCAUUUGCUAUUUUUAGCAGUGAAAUUGACCAGUACCAGAAAUAUCUUCCAGAUAUACAAGAGAGAUUGGUUGAGAGUCUCCGUUUGCCACAGGUGCCAACUCUCCAUUCUCAAGUGUUCCUGUUUUUCAGAGUAUUACUUUUAAGAAUGUCUCCCCAACAUCUUACCUCACUCUGGCCUACCAUGAUUACAGAACUUGUACAAGUAUUUUUACUGAUGGAGCAGGAACUCACUGCUGAUGAAGAUAUUUCACGGACUUCAGGGCCCUCUGUGGCUGGUCUGGAGACAACGUACACAGGAGGUAAUGGCUUCUCUACUUCAUAUAACAGCCAGCGGUGGUUAAACCUCUAUCUCUCUGCUUGCAAAUUUUUGGAUUUGGCUCUCGCAUUGCCCUCUGAAAACCUUCCUCAGUUUCAGAUGUACCGAUGGGCCUUUAUUCCAGAAGCCUCAGAUGAUUCAGGUUUGGAAGUCAGAAGGCAGGGUAUACAUCAACGAGAAUUUAAACCUUACGUGGUACGACUAGCAAAACUUCUUCGGAAAAGAGCAAAGGACAAGGAGGAGGACUUUAAGACAGUGAUUUUGGAGGGAUUGGAGAUGGCCAAGAAUCAGAAAAAUCCAGAGGAAGACAACUCAGGGAGAACGUUGGGUUGGGAGCCAGGGCAAUUGCUGCUCACCAUCUGCACCGUGCGCAGCAUGGAGCAGCUCCUGCCGUUCUUCAAUGUGCUCAGUCAAGUCUUCAACAGCAAAGUCACAAGCCGAUGUGGAGGACACUCAGGGAGUCCUAUCCUCUACUCAAACGCCUUCCCUAAUAAGGACAUGAAACUGGAGAACCACAAACCAUGUUCCAGCAAAGCCAGGCAAAAAAUAGAAGAGAUGGUAGAAAAAGAUUUUCUGGAAGGGAUGAUAAAAACUUGAGCACCACCGGUGGUUCCAUUUAACUUAUAUGUAAACGUAAUUAUUUAAAACAUACACUGCUCUGCAUUGUAUAGUUUUUCCUUUUUUGUAUGUAACAGAACACAUUUCAGGUUGUAUUUAAUUUAAAUAUUUGUAUAUAAGAGCAAAUGUCUGAAUGUGGCCUGAAUCAAGUUUAAAUAUUGUUGGCUCAUACUGAUUAUGGUGCCUAAGAGAGCUAUAUAUAUACACACAUGUAAAGUCCAUUGUUUUUAUUGUCCUGAGUUGUCUUAAACCUGCAAAAUAUACACUACCCAUUUUUUUUUUCCAUUGGUUUCAGGCUUGGUUUAAUUAAGAUUGGUUGGGGAUUUUUCUCUUUUCCUUAGUAACCAUGUUCUGGUAUCAGUGUGGUGUUCCUUCUCCAUCGGAGGCUGGAAAACUUAUUAUAAUUAGUUUUUUUCCCACAUACCUUCACCAAGAGCAGUGAAGAAUAACUGAAGGCUGGACCAUGCAUCCUUAUAAGUCUCAGUAUGGAAGAGAGAUGACAACCCCCUCUUCACACCUCUUGAGUUCCUGAUGGCAUUAGUCAUAUAGUAACAAAUUCCAAGGCCCUUAAAUAAAUGGAAAACAGAUGAAAUUCUUCUAAAGAACUAUCCCAGCUUACUUGUGAGUCUGCUUCUGCAUACACUCGGACGACAUCUUCUGUACCAGAGGGCCGGACAAAAGCUCGGGAAAGCUUGUACUUCUUCACCAGGUCAUUGAUUGCCUCCUGUAAUCCUGGGGGUGUAACUGCUUGUCUUUCGGCAUUGGUAGUGCUAAUAACUCUCCUGUCUGCAACCUAAGUGCAAGCGUUUCAUAUUUGUUACUAUAUUACACUUCCUUUCAGAAGCUUAACCUGUUAAACAUAAAUUCUACGAAAAGUGCCAGACUAAAUAUAAAAUUACAUUAAAAUUUCUUAUUUCUCCAAGAUCAGGGUAAUUAAUUUCAACAUUUGUACAACUCUUCUUUUUCUUCAAUCUAUAAAGAAUUACCUUUGACAAAAAAUAUUUCCACAAAUGCUUAGAGUUACCACUAAGAUAAUGGCCAGUAAAUACGACAUGACUUUAAGACCCAUAUCACACAUAAAAACAGGAUAAGUGGUAGCCCAUUAUAUCAGAAGGCCGAUAAGAAUCUCUUAAAAUAUGCCAAAAAUAAUCAGAACAAUCAACAGCCAUUUCUGUGAACUGUGGCUUUAGUACCUCCAAUUGUCUUUCACAAAUUCUGUUGGUGAAUGUGCAAACUGGCAUAAACAUGUACAGAAAUCAGUGAGCAAUUUAUCUGAAUUCUCUCCCUCAGGAAGUAUUCUGUGAACUAAACAUAAUGCAGAGUAAGUACUUUCACUUGAAAUGACAGGGGAUCUGAGUUUUGCUUCAAAAUAAUGUUGGGGCCAGGCGCAGUGGCUCACACCUGUAAUCCUAGCACUUUGGGAGGCAAGGGAAAAGGAUUACUUGAGCUCAGGAGUUCGAGACCAGCCUGGGCAACACAGUGAGACCUCGUCUCUAAAUAAAAUACCCAAAAGAGUAUUGGGAGGGGGUAUGGAGAAUGUAUAGGGCAAUAACUGAAAUCUGCCUACACAAAGUUCAUUAUGUUGUUUCUCUACAUUUAUAUCUGUUUUUAAUUCUCCAUAAUAAAAUCUCUUUAAAAAUG